CAUGCGCUGGUAAUCUUGUCCUGCUUUUCUAUUAUCUUUUAAUUCGGAAUACUUGUGCAGCAUGUUACACAUUCCUGUGCAAGUUGGCUCACCUCACAUUUUGUCAGCAUUUAUUUUUUACAUCUUCUAGGUAAGUGCUGUUUUUAAUAUGAGAAAUGUAUAAACAUCAUGGGGAGGGAUUUUCUUUCUAGAAAUUGACAAAAAUAGGUUUGACUCUCUCCCUCCUUAAUUGAAAGAGUAGAAAAAAUUUAUUUUAAGG
rnacentral:misc_RNA from 1 species